GGGGGUUUAGCUCAGUUGGUAGAGCAAGUGACUCUUAAUCACUGGGUCGUGGGUUCGAGUCCCUCAACCCCUACCA
rnacentral:tRNA from 1 species